rnacentral:rRNA from 1 species
GCGGGUGCUAACACAUGCAGUCGAGCGAUGCGAUUCUUCGGAAUCAAUUAGCGGCGGACGGGUGAGUAACACGUGGGUAACCUGCCUCAAAGAGGGGAAUAGCCUCCCGAAAGGGAGAUUAAUACCGCAUAAUAUGUUUUGAUCGCAUGAUCUAAACAUCAAAGGAAUUCCUUUUGGAAUUCCACUUUGAGAUGGACCCGCGGCGCAUUAGCUAGUUGGAGAGGUAACGGCUCACCAAGGCAACGAUACGUAGCCGACCUGAGAGGGUGAUCGGCCACAUUGGAACUGAGACACGGUCCAGACUCCUACGGGAGGCAGCAGUGGGGAAUAUUGCGCAAUGGGGGAAACCCUGACGCAGCAACGCCGCGUGAAUGAUGAAGGCCUUCGGGUUGUAAAGUUCUGUCUUCUGGGACGAUAAUGACGGUACCAGAGGAGGAAGCCACGGCUAACUACGUGCCAGCAGCCGCGGUAAUACGUAGGUGGCAAGCGUUGUCCGGAUUUACUGGGCGUAAAGGAUGCGUAGGCGGACAUUUAAGUCAGAUGUGAAAUACCCGAGCUUAACUUGGGUGCUGCAUUUGAAACUGGGUGUCUAGAGUGCAGGAGAGGUAAGUGGAAUUCCUAGUGUAGCGGUGAAAUGCGUAGAGAUU